GCUACAAGUAAACCACAAUGAAGUAAAUGUUACAUUUUGUAUUACUACUGCCUCCCAUUAAUUUUUUAUCACAUUGCAUAAUCUGUAACCCCACUUCCAGCUUUAUCCAACUUUGUGUCACUAUACAUGCCUUGCAAGGAUCACAAAGAUAAAUCCACUUGUGACAUGCACCACAUAUUCUUCAUUGUGAUAUUAUUAUAUGAUUAUGGCAUAAUUAUGAUGCAUUUUGUACAACGUGGGGCAUGUAAGGUGUCAUUGGAUUUGCUGAAUAUGAUUAUCCUGUUUGUGUGCAUGUAUAUUUUUGUAUCUGAAGUUAUGAAUAUUGACUACAUAUCUGUAUUUCACAUGUAGUCACACCUGGGUGACACCCACAAGGCAAGAUGCUUCCAAUCUAAAUAGCUGGUUGUGCAGGGCCCAUUCAGGGUAAAGAGCCAUUAGAGAAAACAAUAGGCCUCAGGAGAAGCUUAUCCCCCAAUCUGGUGACCUUCCUGUGGAUGUUUCAGCCAGCCUGUAAAUAAUGGCUGCUAUGACUCUGCAAGGGCAUGUGACUAGCCCAGAUGACUUUAGACUCCAUUUUGGUAGCCUGUAUUUUCCCACAAAUUGGGCUGGGAACUGUUUUUGGAACAAAGGGUUCCCACCCAGUGCUAAAGCUCUAUAAGGCAGGGAGUGACAGCAGCUGUUGCUCUUCACUCCCCCACAACUGAACACCUGAAAGAAGCUCUGAAAGAAAAGGACUUGGAAUGGGGAUGGGGAGCUGAAGCUGAAAAGCAAGUGAAGCUCGUGCCUUGAGAAUCUGCAAGCCUGUUUGUAUCAUCAGUCAGGUACAGCAGAAUCAAGAAACCUGUUUAAAUGGUCAGUGUGGCCACUGCAUAGUCCAGGUGCUAAAGGACCACUCAAGGAAGACCAUUGUGGAGAAACAAAAUUAAUACUUUGCAUAGGUCUUCACUGUAGAGGUUGUGAAGGAGAUUCCCACACCUGAGCCAUUCUUUUUAGGCACUCUACAAGUGAGAGAGGUCAGAAAGUCACGUAGACUUCUAGGAGCCCGCUAGCCUCAGCUGAGAGAGCAGCCAUGAGUGGGAACAAAUUUUUGUAGUGCAAGAUCUCAUGUCUCUGUUCGACUCUCCCAGGCUAGGACACCAGGAAAUAGAGCAUCACUCUGAGCCCCAGGCUUAUGUAGCUUAUGCAGCCCUCAUGUAAUUCAACUGUAACCAAAACAGUUAUGCAAAA